rnacentral:misc_RNA from 1 species
AAAAAAAAACUUACAUAAUAUUUGCAUAAUAAAUUUCAUUUACAAAAGUUACAAAAUCUAAACUUGGACAAAAAAGGAAGAUUGUCUACAAUAAAAUAAUAGCAAUUGUUUGUACUCACCUCAAUGUAGUAAAACCAUACUUGUCGCCAAUAUGGAUUUAUGUACAAAACUGCAGCUAUUACCAACAACACCAUAAUGUAAGUCACCCCAAAACUCGCAUGGAAAGCAUCCUUAUCGAUGAAGCAACUGCUUUCUUUAUUCUCAAUUGAAGUUCUUGAUUUUGAUGGAGGUAAUGAUAUUUCAGUACAAUUUUUCAUCAAUGGACAUCCAUAGAGAAAAAGGUUUCCUCGAUAGCUGCUUUCAUCAAAUGUUGCAAAUUGUUUAACAUCGGGUAUCUUGCCAGAUAAAUUAUGUAUGACACAUUAAAAACAGCCA